UACGUAGGGUGCGAGCGUUAAUCGGAAUUACUGGGCGUAAAGCGUGCGCAGGCGGUAAGUUAAGUCUGAUGUUAAAGCCCCGGGCUCAACCUGGGAAUGGCAUUGGAAACUGGCUUGCUGGAGUGUGGCAGAGGGGGGUGGAAUUCCGCGUGUAGCAGUGAAAUGCGUAGAGAUGCGGAGGAACACCGAUGGCGAAGGCAGCCCCCUGGGCCAACACUGACGCUCAGGCACGAAAGCGUGGGGAGCAAACAGG
rnacentral:rRNA from 1 species